GUGCCAGCAGCCGCGCGGUAAUACGGAGGGUGCAAGCGUUAUCCGGAUUCAUUGGGUUUAAAGGGUGCGCAGGCUGAUUAUUAAGUCAGUGGUGAGAUCUCCCGGCUCAACCGGGAAACUGCCAUUGAUACUGGUAAUCUUGAGUACGGUUGAAGUGGGCGGAAUGUAGCAUGUAGCGGUGAAAUGCAUAGAUAUGCUACAGAACACCGAUAGCGAAGGCAGCUCACUAAGCCGGUACUGACGCUCAGGCACGAAAGCGUGGGGAGCGAACAGGAUUAGAUACCCUGGUAGUCCACGCCGUAAACGAUGGAUACUAGCUGUUGGACGUAAGUUCAGUGGCCAAGCGAAAGUGAUAAGUAUCCCACCUGGGGAGUACGUUCGCAAGAAUGAAACUUAAAUGAAUUGACGG
rnacentral:rRNA from 1 species